UUUAAUGCAGUGCAGAGUCUCUCCAAGCAUCAACAUGCACUUCAAACAAAUCUUCUAUAUUUUUCUCCUGGCCAUUUCCUUUAUCCUGUCUCCAACUGUCGCGGCAAAUAAUUUAAUAGUUACUUGCCCUGGAGGAACCAUAAGAGUUCGUAGCAGUUGUGUCAGGAUGGACUCUGAGAAUUCAACUGAAACAGAGACGCCAUUCUUCUGAUAUCUGUAAUUGUUAUGUGAUUAAAACAGGCUUAGUAAAAUAUAGAACCAAAA